AACGAACGCUGGCGGCAUGCCUAACACAUGCAAGUCGAACGAGACCUUCGGGUCUAGUGGCGCACGGGUGCGUAACGCGUGGGAACCUGCCCUUAGGUUCGGAAUAACUCCCCGAAAGGGGUGCUAAUACCGGAUAAUGUCUUCGGACCAAAGAUUUAUCGCCUUUGGAUGGGCCCGCGUUGGAUUAGCUAGUUGGUAGGGUAAAAGCCUAACAAGGCGACGAUCCAUAGCUGGUCUGAGAGGAUGAUCAGCCACACUGGGACUGAGACACGGCCCAGACUCCUACGGGAGGCAGCAGUGGGGAAUAUUGGACAAUGGGCGAAAGCCUGAUCCAGCAAUGCCGCGUGAGUGAUCAAGGCCUUAGGGUUGUAAAGCUCUUUUACCCGGGAUGAUAAUGACAGUACCGGGAGAAUAAGCUCCGGCUAACUCCGUG
rnacentral:rRNA from 1 species